rnacentral:rRNA from 1 species
GACGAACGCUGGCGGCGUGCUUAACACAUGCAAGUCGAGCGAUGAAGCUCCUUCGGGAGCGGAUUAGCGGCGGACGGGUGAGUAACACGUGGGUAACCUGCCUCAUAGAGGGGAAUAGCCUUCCGAAAGGAAGAUUAAUACCGCAUAAGAUUGUAGUUUCGCAUGAAACAGCAAUUAAAGGAGUAAUCCGCUAUGAGAUGGACCCGCGUCGCAUUAGCUAGUUGGUGAGGUAACGGCUCACCAAGGCGACGAUGCGUAGCCGACCUGAGAGGGUGAUCGGCCACAUUGGGACUGAGACACGGCCCAGACUCCUACGGGAGGCAGCAGUGGGGAAUAUUGCACAAUGGGGGAAACCCUGAUGCAGCAACGCCGCGUGAGUGAUGACGGUCUUCGGAUUGUAAAACUCUGUCUUCAGGGACGAUAAUGACGGUACCUGAGGAGGAAGCCACGGCUAACUACGUGCCAGCAGCCGCGGUAAUACGUAGGUGGCAAGCGUUGUCCGGAUUUACUGGGCGUAAAGGGAGCGUAGGUGGAUAUUUAAGUGGGAUGUGAAAUACUCGGGCUUAACCUGAGUGCUGCAUUCCAAACUGGAUAUCUAGAGUGCAGGAGAGGAAAGUAGAAUUCCUAGUGUAGCGGUGAAAUGCGUAGAGAUUAGGAAGAAUACCAGUGGCGAAGGCGACUUUCUGGACUGUAACUGACACUGAGGCUCGAAAGCGUGGGGAGCAAACAGGAUUAGAUACCCUGGCAGUCCACGCCGUAAACGAUGAAUACUAGGUGUGGGGGUUGUCAUGACCUCCGUGCCGCCGCUAACGCAUUAAGUAUUCCGCCUGGGGAGUACGGUCGCAAGAUUA